GAUGAACGCUAGCGGCAGGCUUAACACAUGCAAGUCGAGGGGUAUAGAGAGCUUGCUCUCUAGAGACCGGCGCACGGGUGCGUAACGCGUAUGCAAUCUACCUUUUACAGAGGGAUAGCCCAGAGAAAUUUGGAUUAAUACCUCAUAGCAUUGCAGAAUGGCAUCAUUCAGCAAUUAAAGUCACAACGGUAAAAGAUGAGCAUGCGUCCCAUUAGCUAGUUGGUAAGGUAACGGCUUACCAAGGCAACGAUGGGUAGGGGUCCUGAGAGGGAGAUCCCCCACACUGGUACUGAGACACGGACCAGACUCCUACGGGAGGCAGCAGUGAGGAAUAUUGGUCAAUGGACGCAAGUCUGAACCAGCCAUGCCGCGUGCAGGAUGACGGUCCUAUGGAUUGUAAACUGCUUUUGUACAGGAAGAAACAGUUCUACGUGUAGAACCUUGACGG
rnacentral:rRNA from 1 species